rnacentral:pre_miRNA from 1 species
UCUUAUGAAUGAGCAAAAAAAAAGUAGUUUCUUGAGAUGAAAUCUACUCUUGGUGAAGAUGCUAUGAA